AUUGAACGCUGGCGGCAUGCUUUACACAUGCAAGUCGAACGGCAGCACGGGGGCAACCCUGGUGGCGAGUGGCGAACGGGUGAGUAAUAUAUCGGAACGUACCCGGAAAUGGGGGAUAACGUAGCGAAAGUUACGCUAAUACCGCAUAUGCCCUAAGGGGGAAGCGGGGGAUUCGCAAGAACCUCGCGUUUUCGGAGCGGCCGAUAUCGGAUUAGCUAGUAGGUGAGGUAAAGGCUCACCAAGGCGACGAUCCGUAGCGGGUCUGAGAGGAUGAUCCGCCACACUGGGACUGAGACACGGCCCAGACUCCUACGGAGGCAGCAGUGGGGAAUUUUGGGACAAUGGGCGCAAGCCUGAUCCAGCCAUGCCGCGUGAGUGAAGAAGGCCUUCGGGUUGUAAA
rnacentral:rRNA from 1 species